rnacentral:tRNA from 4 species
GCAGCGGUAGCUUAGCUGGCUCAAAGCGCUGCCCUGUCACGGCAGAGAUCACGGGUUCGAAUCCCGUCCGCUGCG